UUGCCGGCGACCGGCGUACGGGUGAGUAACACGUAUGCAACCUGCCCGUCUCAGGGGGAUAAUCGUCGGAAACGGCGUCUAAUACCCCGUAUGAAGCUGGACGGCAUCGUCUGGUUUUGAAAGAAUAUCGGAGACGGAUGGGCAUGCGGCGCAUUAGCUAGUUGGCGGGGUAACGGCCCACCAAGGCGACGAUGCGUAGGGGUUCUGAGAGGAAGGUCCCCCACACUGGUACUGAGACACGGACCAGACUCCUACGGAAGGCAGCAG
rnacentral:rRNA from 1 species